AGUUCCUGAAAAUGCUUGAGCCAUAAAGUUGAACCGGGUGUCUUGUUCUGUUAGUGAGAAGACUUUCGGACCCCAGACUGGUGGAAGGGGAAACUGUUUGGAAGCCGCAAUGAGAAGCAAAGAGAAAACCAACUCUACUUCCAUGUCCAGGGGUCAAGAGCCAGAACCUGCAGAUGUUCGGAUCUCAGAGCUGAGCUUUGCUCUUUGCCGAAGCUUGGAAGAAAAAUGCCAGUGAAAACACCUGGGAUUGGAAUUUUGUCUGUCAGAGAUACUAAGUUAUGGAUGAAAUUUCUUUAAUAGAUGCAAGACUGUUCAGAUUUUGUUAAAU